UACGUAGGGGGCAAGCGUUGUCCGGAAUCAUUGGGCGUAAAGCGCGUGUAGGCGGCCAGGUAAGUCCGUUCUGAAAGCCCGGGGCUCAACCCCGGGAGGCGGAUGGAUACUGCUUGGCUCGAGUCCGGAAGAGGCGAGUGGAAUUCCCGGUGUAGCGGUGAAAUGCGCAGAUAUCGGGAGGAACACCAAUGGCGAAGGCAGCUCGCUGGGACGGUACUGACGCUGAGGCGCGAAGGCGUGGGGAGCGAACGGGG
rnacentral:rRNA from 1 species